GCGUUUGUGGUUUAGUGGUAAAAUCGUUGCUUGCCAAGAUUACUUCAUGUGAUAACUUGUUCACUUGCAAUGGCCCCGGGUUCGAUUCCCGGCGAACGCA
rfam:Sclerotinia borealis F-4128 unplaced genomic scaffold scaffold00216, whole genome shotgun sequence.